rnacentral:rRNA from 1 species
UAGAGUUUGAUCAUGGCUCAGGAUGAACGCUAGCGGCAGGCCUAAUACAUGCAAGUCGAGGGGUAGAAAGAUUGUAGCUUGCUAUAAUUUUUUGAGACCGGCGCACGGGUGCGUAACACGUAUGCAACCUACCUAUAACUGGGGCAUAGCUCAGAGAAAUCUGAAUUAAUUCCCCAUAAUACUGUAGAACCGCAUGGUUUAUCAGUUAAAGUUCCGGCGGUUAUAGAUGGGCAUGCGUUGUAUUAGCUAGUUGGUGAGGUAACGGCUCACCAAGGCUACGAUACAUAGGGGUUCUGAGGGGAUGAUCCCCCACACUGGUACUGAGACACGGACCAGACUCCUACGGGAGGCAGCAGUAGGGAAUAUUGGUCAAUGGACGCAAGUCUGAACCAGCCAUGCCGCGUGCAGGAAGACGGCCCUCUGGGUUGUAAACUGCUUUUAUAUAGGAAGAAACCCCUGGAUGCGUUCGGGGCUGACGGUACUAUAUGAAUAAGGAUCGGCUAACUUCGUGCCAGCAGCCGCGGUAAGACGAAGGAUCCAAGCGUUGUCCGGAUUUACUGGGUUUAAAGGGUGCGUAGGCGGAUAUUUAAGUCAGUGGUGAAAUCCCAUAGCUCAACUAUGGAACUGCCAUUGAAACUGGAUAUCUUGAAUACGGUUGAGGUAGAUGGAAUAUAACAUGUAGCGGUGAAAUGCUUAGAUAUGUUAUAGAACACCGAUUGCGAAGGCAGUCUACUAAGCCGUGAUUGACGCUGAGGCACGAAAGCGUGGGGAGCGAACAGGAUUAGAUACCCUGGUAGUCCACGCCCUAAACGUUGAUUACUCGCUGUUGGCGAUACACUGUCAGCGGCUAAGCGAAAGCGUUAAGUAAUCCACC